rnacentral:rRNA from 1 species
UACGUAGGGGGCAAGCGUUGUUCGGAAUUACUGGGCGUAAAGGGCGCGUAGGCGGUCUUGUAAGUCUCGUGUGAAAUCCCUCGGCUUAACUGAGGAACUGCACGGGAUACUGCAUGACUUGAGAUCGGGAGAGGGAAGCGGAAUUCCGGGUGUAGCGGUGAAAUGCGUAGAUAUCCGGAGGAACACCGGUGGCGAAGGCGGCUUCCUGGACCGACACUGACGCUGAGGCGCGAAAGCUAGGGGAGCAAACGGG